GUGGGUGCUGGGGAUCUGAACUCGGGUCCUUACGCCUACCUGUACAGCAGAUGCUUUAUCCUCAAAACCUAGUCUGAUGCCUCUUAAAGUUUUUUUUUCUUUCCUCAGCAAACCUACUCCUAGCUCCACUAACAGCUGCAUCCUGCUGGUGAUCACUGAGGGAGUCAGAAGCAGCUCUUCCCCAGUGGAACCUCGAGAUGCUUCUCCCAAGCAAUCCUGAACCUAAGGACGGCUGAGUGGUGCUGUCAUGCCUGACCUGCAGGAACUGUGAGACGAUCGGUGUUACAUCACUCCACUAGAAUGGAGGAAUACUGUUUGGCUGUAGCAGUAGACAACCACACACAAAGAGGGAGACAGCAAGUCCAUCCGGAGGGAACUCAGUACAACGCAAGUUUGACAGGGGAUGGUGCUGGUACAUGAAGCAGCCAAGCUGGAGACUGGACCCUUUCAGGUGCUGCAGCUUCCUUAUGGGUGAGCCUGCCUUAAAUGUUGACUCAGAGGUGGGAGGGGGAGCUCUCUGCCCAGAAAGCGUUUCAGUUUGAGGUGUCUUUCUGCUGGAGCAGCACCAGCUGAUCUGUAUUUACUAUGAUUACAGCUCUCUCAGUUCACGUCUGCACGGUCUUUCGUGCCUCACUUUUGCACCUCACUUCCUGAGCUUUUCUACUCUCCUUUCUGGGUUUCUGAAAACUACUUGGGUUUGUCAUCUGUUUUCCUUCACAACCACUCUGAAAAUUACGUCACCUGAUGUUCUUUUAGUAGUUGCAGCGUGCCUCUUUCACUCACUUGAAUUUUAAGGCGAUGGAAAUCUUUACUUUCCUUGAGAUCACAGCCUCAGACGCGUGUGCCUUCAAUUCUAACCUCUCUCGAAUUUUUCAGUCUGUGUGUCUUUAGAAUCCAACAAGCCCUUCUUUGUAAAGUUAACGGAAUGAUCUUUUACUUCAUUGUCUUAAUUUUUCUUUUACUGCAUUAUCAUAUAUUUCUACAUUCUUUUUUCUUUAAAUGUAAUUUUUUUCAUACAUUUUGAUCAUGUUGUUUCCCCUCCUUCAACUCCUUCCACAGCAUCCCUAGCACCCUACCAAACCAACUAUCCAACUCCAUGUUCCCUCUAGUCCCCAUCUCAUUCAAAAAAUAGAACAAAAAGUGUAUGAGCAUGAGCACGGGCAAGUGCGCAUCUGCAUGCCCGAGGACACACACACACACACACACACACACACACACACACACACAUCCCAAAACAAAAACAAAGAAAACAUGGAAUCUGUCAUGUGUUGGCCAGCUACUCCUCAGUGCAGGGCUUGGCCUGGAGUGUGGUUGAUAAACCCAGUGUCCCUCCAUUAGAGAAAAGUGAUUUUCCUUUUCUCAGCAAGUCUCAUUUUCAAAUCAUUUUCUUAAUUAACGGUGGGACUCUCUAUUUUCCUUCCCAGUGCUGGGACUCUGUUCAAUUUCAACCCGUUCGAGUCUUAUGCAAAAUGUCACAUAUAUGUCGCAUACAUACGUGAAUUCACACACAUGUGUUGUUGGACUAGAUGACCCUUCUCCUUGGAGUCACCUCUGUCUCUCCCUCCCUGCCCUUUGUCUGGUGCGGAUCUGUGUUUGUUACCAUCUACUGCAAGAAGUUUCUCAGGGGAGGGCCGAGUCACUGACCUACAGCAGUGUCGUGUCACAAGGAAUCAUGUUAUUGCUAUGUUCCUUUAGCAGAAUAAUAAUGAGGCUUCCCUUAGGGCCCAGGAUCUCUCUAGUCUCAGGUUGUUGGAAACUUUAGCUGUGUCAGAUAUAGGUUCUGUGACCCUUAAGUCCAUCCACAACCUUAUGGUCAGAUCAGAUUGCUGAGGAUACAACUUAUUUAAGUCAUUAAACAUGGAGAAUUCGUGGUGGCGCACACCUUUGGAUUCCAGCACUCGGAAGGCAAAUCUCUGCAAAUCCAAAGACGCCCUGGUCUAUACAGAGAAUCCCUGUCUCCAAAAACCAAAACCCAAAACAAACAAACAAACAAACAACAGGGUUGGGGAUUUAGCUCAGUGGUAGAGCACUUGCCUAGGAAGCGCAAGGCCCUGGGUUCGGUCCCCAGCUCCGAAAAAAAGAACCAAAAAAAAAAAAAAACAACCAAACAACAACAACCAAACCAAAACAACAACAAAAACAUGAAGGAAUCAAGCUUCUACCAACUAGAAGCUUCACCCUACUGGCUAAUAGUCAUGGUGCUGGAAACUAUUUUACAUGCUACACGAGAAAAUCUGUAUCACCUAGCUGCAAACUUUGAGACCGACAAAAGUGACCUCCUGUCUGCAAGAUACACUGGUGCAACAACAAAUGUUAAGGGAGUAACCAACAACUUCUUGAAGCCAUUUUUUUUUACAAGUCCUUUUAUUUAUGUUUGUUGCAUUAAAAAAAAAAAACCUUUCAUGUAUAUGCAUGUACACACGAAGGCUGGUGUGCACACUAGGACACUGUGCGAAAGUCAGAGGACAACUUACAGGAGUCAUUUCUCUCCCUCCACCAUGUGGGUCUGAGGUAUUGAACUCAAGCUGUCAGGCCUCCUGGCACCUCCAGUUGAAUCUCUACGCAGUGUACAUAAAGAUCUGGUGGUUUUAAAGAGACCACAGAAAAAUACCAGAAAGUUUCUCAAGAUUGAAGUAAAUGUCUACAAAUAUGAUAAUUACUUCUUUGCUAAAUCUAUUUUUUAAAAAUAUUUUAUUUUAUAUGAAAAUAAUUCUUAGGACAGUUUUCUUCUUUCUUCUUUCUUUUUUUUUUUUUUUUUAAGAACUCUCUAUUGUAUAACUCUGGGGAAAUUUGAGCCAAUUAUAAAUUGCAUGAGCUACUUACAGUCAAAUGAUUUCAAAAAGCAAAUAAUAAACACGCUUUUCAUGGCCUGAAGCAAAAAAUUACACUUAAUGUGGGGUGUGGGCAGAUGCUGAUAUGUUUGGAAUGUGCGUGGGUAGAAAGGGACCUAGGGCCUCAGAAAGUCUCGAAGAUCUGGUCCCCUUUGUGGUUUGAGGGUACGGUGGUGAUGGAGAAAGUACAGCAAUGCCAGGCUACCUGGCCACUGUCAUGGCGGAGGGGUCAUGGCGGAGGGGUCAUGGCGGAGGGGUCAUGGCGGAGGGGUCAUGGCGGAGGGGUCAUGGCGGAGGGGUCAUGGCGGAGGGGUCAUGGCGGAGGGGUCAUGGCGGAGGGGUCAUGGCGGAGGGGUCCACGUUCAGUUCUCCACCCUCCAUGCAGUAUUCGAUAAAGUUACAAAGCCUAGGAAACACCAUGCAUGCUAGAUUUCUCUCAGGGCUGGGCGAAGAAUACUUUCCAAUCCAAGUUCUGGUGAAAGGAGGGGCCUGUACGACUUAGGGGCAAGGACAGAGAGCAAAGUCUUUCAGGGCAGACAGGGUACAGGCGAGCUGAGCGCAGAAGGCUCAGGCUGAGUUUACUUCCCACUAGAUCCGCUAGGGGAAGUAAAUGGUGCCCAUGUGGGGAACGCUACCUGCAGUUCCUAAGGAAUGUUCUUUUGCAAAGGCAUGGCCUGUCAGGCCUGUCUAGGGAGUGGGCUGAAAUCGGGCGAGGAUUUAUGCAUACUUGUUUGUGAUGUGGAGAAGAAGGGGUUAAGCCUAGGAAAGUUCAGUCAAAGCCUCCUGGAGUUUCACAAAACUAUAGGGGCAGAAAGACAUAGGAAGUGGGCAUUUCUAGGCUUGCACCAGUGAGAUGGAGUCAGUGGAAAGCACAGGGAAAUCCUUUCUUGACACACACACACACACACACACACACACACACACACACACACACAGAGAGAGAGAGAGAGAGAGAGAGAGAGAGAGAGAGAGAGAGAGAGAGAGAGAAA